rnacentral:tRNA from 1 species
UUAUUUGAUAGGAUAGAUCAUGUAUAAAUAUACUCUUAUUA